UACGUAGGGGGCAAGCGUUGUCCGGAUUCAUUGGGCGUAAAGAGCUCGUAGGCGGCUUGGCAAGUCGGGUGUGAAACCUCCAGGCUCAACCUGGAGACGCCACCCGAUACUGCCGGGCUAGAGUCCGGAAGAGGCGAGUGGAACUCCUGGUGUAGCGGUGGAAUGCGCAGAUAUCAGGAAGAACACCAACGGCGAAGGCAGCUCGCUGGGACGGUACUGACGCUGAGACGCGAAAGCGUGGGGAGCGAACAGG
rnacentral:rRNA from 1 species